UACGGAGGGGGCGAGCGUUGUUCGGAUUUACUGGGCGUAAAGGGCGCGCAGGCGGCUUAUUUUGUCAGGCGUGAAAGCCCCGGGCUUAACCUGGGAACUGCGUUUGAUACGGAUGGGCUAGAGUUCGGGAGAGGAGCGUGGAAUUCCCAGUGUAGAGGUGAAAUUCGUAGAUAUUGGGAAGAACACCGGUGGCGAAGGCGGCGCUCUGGACCGAGACUGACGCUGAGGCGCGAAAGCGUGGGGAGCAAACAGG
rnacentral:rRNA from 1 species